rnacentral:rRNA from 1 species
AUUGAACGCUGGCGGCAUGCCUUACACAUGCAAGUCGAACGGCAGCACGGGUGCUUGCCCCUGGUGGCGAGUGGCGAACGGGUGAGUAAUACAUCUGAACAUGUCCUGUAUUGGGGGGUAGCCCGGCGAAAGCCGGAUUGAUACCGCAUACGAUUCACGGAUGACAGCGGGGGACCUUCGGGCCUCGCGCUAUGGGGUUGGCCGAUGGCUGAUUAGCUAGUUGGUGGGGUAAAGGCCUACCAAGGCGACGAUCAGUAGCUGGUCUGAGAGGACGACCAGCCACACUGGGACUGAGACACGGCCCAGACUCCUACGGGAGGCAGCAGUGGGGAAUUUUGGACAAUGGGCGAAAGCCUGAUCCAGCAAUGCCGCGUGUGUGAAGAAGGCCUUCGGGUUGUAAAGCACUUUUGUCCGGAAAGAAAUCCUUGACUCUAAUACAGUCGGGGGAUGACGGUACCGGAAGAAUAAGCACCGGCUAACUACGUG